rnacentral:rRNA from 1 species
GACGAACGCUGGCGGCGUGCUUAACACAUGCAAGUCGAGCGGUAAGGCCCUUUCGGGGGUACACGAGCGGCGAACGGGUGAGUAACACGUGGGUGACCUGCCUUUAGCUCUGGGAUAAGCCUGGGAAACCGGGUCUAAUACCGGAUAUGACUCCGCGGCGCAUGUUGUGGGGUGGAAAGCCUUGUGCGGCUGGAGAUGGGGCCCGCGGCCUAUCAGCUUGUUGGUGGGGUGAUGGCCUACCAAGGCGACGACGGGUAGCCGGCCUGAGAGGGCGACCGGCCACACUGGGACUGAGACACGGCCCAGACUCCUACGGGAGGCAGCAGUGGGGAAUCUUGCGCAAUGGGCGAAAGCCUGACGCAGCGACGCCGCGUGAGGGAUGACGGCCUCGGUUGUAA